AGAGUUUGAUCAUGGCUCAGAUUGAACGCUGGCGGCAGGCCUAACACAUGCAAGUCGAGCGAGAAAGCCCUUCGGGGUGAGUACAGCGGCGGACGGGUGAGUAACGCGUAGGAAUCUACCUAGUAGUGGGGGACAACUCGGGGAAACUCGAGCUAAUACCGCAUACGCCCUACGGGGGAAAGCGGGGGAUCUUCGGACCUCGUGCUAUUAGAUGAGCCUGCGUAAGAUUAGCUAGUUGGUGGGGUAAUGGCCUACCAAGGCGACGAUCUUUAGCUGGUCUGAGAGGAUGAUCAGCCACACCGGGACUGAGACACGGCCCGGACUCCUACGGGAGGCAGCAGUCGGGAAUAUUGCGCAAUGGGCGAAAGCCUGACGCAGCCAUGCCGCGUGUGUGAAGAAGGCCCUAGGGUUGUAAAGCACUUUCAAUUGGGAGGAAAAGCUAAUGGUUAAUAGCCAUUAGCCCUGACGUUACCUUUAGAAGAAGCACCGGCUAACUCCGUGCCAGCAGCCGCGGUAAUACGGAGGGUGCAAGCGUUAAUCGGAAUUACUGGGCGUAAAGCGCGCGUAGGCGGUUUUUUAAGUCGGAUGUGAAAGCCCCGGGCUCAACCUGGGAAUUGCAUCCGAUACUGGAUAACUAGAAUGCGGGAGAGGGAGGUAGAAUUCCAUGUGUAGCAGUGAAAUGCGUAGAUAUAUGGAGGAAUACCAGUGGCGAAGGCGGCCUCCUGGCUCGACAUUGACGCUGAGGUGCGAAAGCGUGGGGAGCAAACGGGAUUAGAUACCCCGGUAGUCCACGCCGUAAACGAUG
rnacentral:rRNA from 1 species